rnacentral:rRNA from 1 species
GAUGAACGCUGGCGGCGUGCUUAACACAUGCAAGUCGAACGGUGAAGCUCCAGCUUGCUGGAGUGGAUCAGUGGCGAACGGGUGAGUAACACGUGAGCAACCUGCCCCUGACUCUGGGAUAACAGCCGGAAACGGCUGCUAAUACCGGAUAUGCACCAUGAACGCAUGUUCUGUGGUGGGAAAGAUUUUUCGGUUGGGGAUGGGCUCGCGGCCUAUCAGCUUGUUGGUGAGGUAAUGGCUCACCAAGGCGUCGACGGGUAGCCGGCCUGAGAGGGUGACCGGCCACACUGGGACUGAGACACGGCCCAGACUCCUACGGGAGGCAGCAGUGGGGAAUAUUGCACAAUGGGCGAAAGCCUGAUGCAGCAACGCCGCGUGAGGGAUGACGGCCUUCGGGUUGUAAACCUCUUUUAGCAGGGAAGAGGCGAGAGUGACGGUACCUGCAGAAAAAGCGCCGGCUAACUACGUG